rnacentral:SRP_RNA from 1 species
CCGUGCUAGACGGGGAGGUAGCGGUGCCCUGUACCCGCAAUCCGCUGUAGCGGGGUCGAUGCCUGCCCGCGGCUUCUCCCUGUGGGGCCAGGACGGCGUAAGCAGCGAUGAGGGCUGGGUCCCGCGCAGCGGGAGCCCGUGAACCCGGACAGGCCCGGAAGGGAGCAUCCGUAAGCGGUUACUCCCGGGUGCCGCGGGGGCGCCUGGUCCGAGCCGGCUGCGCCGAUACCGCCCGGAGGGAGCUGUCAACGGCAGGUGCACGG